rnacentral:rRNA from 1 species
CCUACGGGAGGCAGCAGUGGGGAAUUUUGGACAAUGGACGCAAGUCUGAUCCAGCCAUGCCGCGUGCGGGAAGAAGGCCUUCGGGUUGUAAACCGCUUUUGUCAGGGAAGAAACGGCUUUCUCUAAUACAGAAGGCUAAUGACGGUACCUGAAGAAUAAGCACCGGCUAACUACGUGCCAGCAGCCGCGGUAAUACGUAGGGUGCAAGCGUUAAUCGGAAUUACUGGGCGUAAAGCGUGCGCAGGCGGUUAUGCAAGACAGAUGUGAAAUCCCCGGGCUCAACCUGGGAACUGCAUUUGUGACUGCAUGGCUAGAGUACGGUAGAGGGGGAUGGAAUUCCGCGUGUAGCAGUGAAAUGCGUAGAUAUGCGGAGGAACACCGAUGGCGAAGGCAAUCCCCUGGACCUGUACUGACGCUCAUGCACGAAAGCGUGGGGAGCAAACAGGAUUAGAUACCCUGGUAGUCCACGCCCUAAACGAUGUCAACUGGUUGUUGGGAGGGUUUCUUCUCAGUAACGAAGCUAACGCGUGAAGUUGACCGCCUGGGGAGUAACGGCCGCAAGGUUGAAACUUCAAAGGAAUUGACGG